GAAAGCUAGUUCUGGUGUGAAAGUACUUUACGCUCCCUCUUUUUCUGUUGGCUAUUGGAUAUCCGAUCUGUGACUUCUGCUGAAGUUUUUUUCAGCAGGUUUACGACACAAUAUGGAAAUUAUACACCAAGGCCAAAAAUUUCAAGCAGUGAUGGUCGCAUGCUCAUGGUUGCUAUGACAACGCACUCGCUUACCUAUCAAUUCGAUGCGCUUAGCCAACCAUAUCGCGGUGUUCCACAAACACUUAUACAUGCGAAACUAGUUUUAUUGAAUUAAAAUUUAGUAAUUUGCAACUAUUACCUUAAAAAGUAUGGUACAAAAUUAAAUUAUGUUCAAAAAGUAGGCAAUCGAAAAUAAGUAGUGCCCUAUAAAAGGGAAGGUGCUUUAUAAAAUAGUUUUUUUUAACCAAACCAUAGAUGGAUGUAGGGCGUAUUGUUCAUCAAUUCGUGAAAAGUUUAUGCCAGAUUUCGAAUAAUUGGGAGUAACGGCUUUGUAUAAUAUACAUUGCAAACAUAUUAGACAAUGAAGUGUUUUUGAGGAUAAGAUGCCUGCGAUAGCGCGGUGCUUUUACUAACUAAAACAGCCGCGAGUCAAUCUUACUGUAACCAAAGCCCAUAUUUCUAGCUGUGCCUCUCAAGAUUAACGACAUAUUAGAAGCCGGAAGACUGCGACGACAGAACCUUCUUUCCGUUCCCGGUUGCUGUGUAGUGCUAAUGUUUAAUGCCAUUUCGGGUGCCUCCUCAGCCCCGAUAUCGUUGAGCUGGUCCGAGCUGUGGCAGUUACAACAAACACUAAAUAUGAUCGAAUAUAAGAAUUGACGACGAGCGUUCGGCAUAUUGUAAAAUUCCGCAGCAUUUAAAUGGCACAGAGGGGUUCUCGUCAUUGUAGCGUUUGUGCUACUUUUUCUCAGCUGAUUGACCUAGCACGGCGUCACGUCCUCGAACACUUAGAAUCCUGGAACCCAACUGAAUAUGCAGGUCGAACUCUUGACCGAAGGUUUCUCUUUACAGAAAAAAGGACACGUUGGAACAAUACAAGUAAAAUCGAAGAUAGGCUUGCUACUCAGUUUAACUGUCGCAUCCACAGGUCUUAUUAUAUAUUGUGGCUUCUUCCAUGUUUGAAGUUUGUUUUUGCAACUGCUUCUGGGAUUGAAUCAUUACCGGAUCGAGUGGCUUUCCUGAAGUACGAUCUACUUUGCCCCACGCCACUUGGACCUACGCAGAUGCCCCAUCAGUGUUGAAACAGCUCAGACAGAGAUUCCACAAAGACACAAAGUACGACUUCUCUUAAGCCCAGUGCGAUGCACUGCCUGUGAGGUUACUAUUAAUGAUAUCAGCGAUAGUGGACCAGUACAGGCGUUCUGCAGCUUUAGAGCCCUGUUAAUCGCGAGCUGUUGCAGUACUUUUACGGACGAAACGCAUCAUACAGAAAGAUAUGGCUGUAAUCACAUCGGACCCAUUGUCUUCUGACUUACUUCAGUUCAUGAACGGUAAACAGUAGACGCAGUCAGAAUAGAUCCGCAAAGUUGGUCGGCGUGCAGUCAUUUCGACAAUUGAGAGAAUGUACACCAUCAGUCGCCAUUGAAGACACCUACCAGAAUGUACACAAGGACACGCAACAAGAAGCAAGUGGACUGGGUAGAUACUUUUGCAGACAACUCGUUCGGAGUUAGCAGAUAGCCACUUUUAAAGAAGAGGCGUCUGAAUCGGGACUUUUAAAUGGGCAUAGUUGGAGAAUCAUCAACGCGUCGGCGUGUGCAGUACUGAGCACUAUAACUACGGAUCGUUAGAUUUCUAGCAGGAGUUUCACGCUUCUGAGCUUUGCUAAGAGUCUUACAGAGGUAAAGAUGCCUAUGAUCUGAAGGAUAUUAGGUUACUUGGCCUAGAAGUGAUGCUUCGACUGUAACCAAACUGCAAAUUCAGACAAAAAAGAUGAGAUCUUCGACAGCUGCGACUUCUUCGACGGCCGCCUGGCGCCUUGACUGUGUUCUCACUGAUUUGUCAGUGUUUCGCGUGGGCAAUUCAUUGGUGAUAUGCCGCAGUCUCCGCUGCGUUCCUGUUUUUUAACUAUUUGCGGUUCACAGUUUGAUUAUUUUGGCUUCGACUGCAUCGAACGAGGGAGAGGAACAACAAGAGGAAAGAAUCGGCAAUUGAAUCAAUUGAUUCGUUUCAUCUGCUCCCCUCAUAUCUUCUCUCUAAAGCAAAAAAAGGAAAGACAGCAGGGCCUGCGAGUUUCCAUAGAUCCCUGUGCUGAUGUCGUUCCUACGUCUCGACGUUUUUGGUUACGUCACGUUAACGUUUCGAGUGAUGGAACGGCGUCAACAUUGACGACGACGACGAGAAUGACAGGGGCAAAAAAAGAAUAUAUUGAAUUUUACGUUUCUCAACGGAGCGCGUUACACCGGCUGUCUGCUUCCUGAAAGCCAGAGGACAGUGCGACAGUUUAGAGCAUAGUCAAUAGAAGUGUUACCGGGGAGCGUCCGCCACAUCACACAGAGAGUGAGAGCAACAGCAUUCAUUGGACACGGAUGUCACUCCUCUGACAAACUGAAGCUCGCUGUAAGAGAAACACUCAAACGGGAAUCUUCCUUUUCUGUCGUCGUUCUCGUUACUGUCAAAAAGUCGGAGACGGGGCACGGUUAAAACGGACGCCUGCCAGCGAGUACGACCAUGUAGCCGUGAAACGAUAUCGCUGCCAUACAAUGCACAAUUGCACGGACAAUCGCAUCAAUCUUGCCCACUUGCUUACCAACGGUUGACGCUUCUUUCCUCUGGUAGUAGUAUGCUGAAAAUGAACUACGAAACUCUCAUAAUAGACGUUUACUUGGACAUUAUUGUAGAUAAUUUUUAUUUAAGAACCCUAUAGCAUUUGGUGGUUAGUUAUAGGUGACACAUCAAGACAAACUUUGGGACGCCAGCUAGCUUCGUUGUGAGAUGCCCAGAGGAAAUAUAAAAGAUGCAAUGAUGUUCAGAUUGCUAUUUUGUAAUCAGACAUAUCCAUUAUUACUUCUUAUGCUUCUCACUAUCGUUCUAUUUUCUAUUUCUGACGAAAGAGUACUUGCCGCUAUAAGCCAAAACGGAAGCAAACAUUGCUUGUACUUUAAGACAAUAUUACCAAAUUCAGUUAUGGACCAUUUUGAUCGAUAACCUUCUGUUAUUAUUGGCCAAUACCAUAAUCCCAUCAAUGUAGAACGUCUAUGGGUCCUGGAGAAACGCUGUUUUUUAGAGAAACUAGAGUUAUUUUUGUAUCUCUCUUUGAAAACUUAAUUCAAUAAACAUUUUUAAGGGAAUUUUGCAGAGACCAAAACAGGUAAUAGUCUGAUGGCGCGAGGUCCGGACUAUACUGCGAAUGCAUUAAACAUAUCCAUCGAGAUUUUCUUAUAUUUUUGUCGGGUAGCUACAGAUGUCCGUGAACUGAUAUUAUGAUAGUGGAACAUGGCGUGUCUUUUUUGUCCGCUAGUUCCAAUCGAUUUUUCCAAUGUCUUGUUGUCAUUUUAUCAGUUGUUGAAGGUACCGGUCAGAAUCAGUUUUCUACCAGACGGCACUAACUCAAAAUGCACGAUUGUGUUCCAAUUUCACUAAACACCUAGUACCAUUUCUUUGGCGUCAGCCUAGGCUUCGUCAGAUACUGCGUGUACGUUUUUAUCACUGAUGAUCAGCCGUUCUAGACGUGAAUAGCAGUUUUGUCAAUGAAAUCACGGUCGGCAAUGUUAUUUUCCGUCAAUUUAUAUGGCAUCGACCAUUAUUUCCCUAGCGAUAUAGGAGCUAUCCCAGUGUCUAUUUGACUCAACGCUUGCAAUACUCGGGGCAACUCUUUCCGUAAUCGGUCGAGCACUACAAGAAGCAUAAUUAAGCAUAAGUCGGAAUUCGCCGAACGAAGGCAAUAAAAUCACUAUUUUGGUAGUCUGUUUCUUGUAUGAUUAGAAAAACGGUGAAAACUUUUCUCGACAAUCCGGUGUACCCAACUAUACAAAAAAAAAAGCUACACUCGGCCUAGGAAAUAUAAUAAAGUCCUGAAAUGGCAUUACAACAGAUAGCCGUCAAGGAAUAGGCGCGGACGAAAACGUGCACUAGCUAACGGGCACAGUUAAGACUUCGUUGGAGACAUCGUACUAGAAACGUAGAUGUAAACGCGAGCACGCAGUGUGUACGAUACGACAACACAUUAACACAUAGGUAUUUUGGAGAAGAGAGGUCUCUUCUUGCGCAGUAUAUUUAUAAGUACUUGCACGUCUGCCUAUUCACAAUACGUUGUGAAACAAAAAUGAAACCUAUUCAAGCGUAGCGUUUGGUUUCUUCUAUUUUGUCUCGCCAGUAUUGUUUUGUUUUAUUUUGUUAUCGAACUUGGCAUCUUGUCUUUAAGGUAUCGCUAGCGCCGCUGCCGACAACAACAGCGACAAUAGCGGCGGCGGCAACAACCCUGAGUAUGCCAAACGCCCGUGCGGCCCGAACUGCGUCAUUCAGAAAUCCUCAACAACGCACCUAUUCGACAUAUAAUACAGUUACAGUGACGCCAAUGCUUAUUUGUCUGUUCUCAACAGAAUCAGCAAAGUCAUUGUUGCUUAAACGAGAGAAAAAGGACCUAGGUGUGGGUAGAAGGCUGAGCGUUCUCCCCAUAGAUAGGAUGUAUCGAUCCAAUUAAUCUUUCUGGUUUUCCCAGAAAUCGCUUAUUCAUUCGUUUCUUGAAGUUUCAGAUCAAACAUUAUUCAUUAUUCAUGUAAGUGCCACUUCUGCUGCUACCGGCAACACUGGGCCCACGAAGCAAGAAUAGCGGUGAAGCAAAGCCUGAGCGGCCCAGUUUCGAGCGAAAACGAAAAACGCUGAGAAUCCUGACGACGGCGAUCAGAAGGCAUUGACCCACAGUUCGACUAACUUCUGCUUAUGGGUAUCUCCGGUGCUGCCAUAUCGUCAUUAUAAGUCCGUCAUCGUUCGGCGGGAAGUGGUGAGAUCGCUGGCAAGCAAAUAUUAGACAAGGGAACAAGCAACAGCUAGAUGACGGGUGCCAUCGUUUCCCUCUUUCUGAUCUUCUACCGGUGAACUAACAGACGACUCUGUUAUGAGGCAACUUCUGGUGAAAUCGAACUUCUCAAGCGGUAAAAGGAUUCCCUUGAGCGUCGUCACGUCGGAUUCCCCUUAGUCGACGAUGACUGUAACGUUGUGUGCCACAGAAAACACAUACAGGAGGGGCCUGACAUCCUAUGGAAACGUGCCUGUAUAGAAUGU